UUGGGUGGCGAGUGGCGGACGGGUGAGGAAUACAUCGGAAUCUACUCUGUCGUGGGGGAUAACGUAGGGAAACUUACGCUAAUACCGCAUACGACCUACGGGUGAAAGCAGGGGAUCUUCGGACCUUGCGCGAUUGAAUGAGCCGAUGUCGGAUUAGCUAGUUGGCGGGGUAAAGGCCCACCAAGGCGACGAUCCGUAGCUGGUCUGAGAGGAUGAUCAGCCACACUGGAACUGAGACACGGUCCAG
rnacentral:rRNA from 1 species